rnacentral:ncRNA from 1 species
ACUAUAACGGUCCUAAGGUAGCGAAAUUCCUUGUCGGGUAAGUUCCGACCUGCACGAAUGGCGUAACGACUUCCGCACUGUCUCAACCAGGGACUCAGCGAAAUUGAAUUGGCGGUGAAGAUGCCGUCUACCCGCGAAAAGACGGAAAGACCCCGGCACCUUUACUACAGCUUGACAUUGGAUUUUGGGAUAACAUGUGUAGGAUAGGUGGGAGGCUAUGAAGCCCUGACGCUAGUUGGGGUGGAGCCACCCUUGAAAUACCACCCUUGUUGUUCUAUGGUUCUAAUUUCGUUCCUUGAAUCAGGGCGAAAGACAGUGUCUGGUGGGUAGUUUGACUGGGGCGGUCGCCUCCUAAAAGGUAACGGAGGCGCGCGAUGGUUCCCUCAGGUUGAUUGGAAACCAACCGUAGAGUGUAAAGGCAUAAGGGAGCUUGACUGCGAGAGAGACAUCUCGAGCAGGUACGAAAGUAGGCCUUAGUGAUCCGGCGGUUCCGAAUGGAAGGGCCGUCGCUCAACGGAUAAAAGGUACGCCGGGGAUAACAGGCUCAUAGCCCCCAAGAGUUCAUAUCGACGGGGCUGUUUGGCACCUCGAUGUCGGCUCAUCGCAUCCUGGGGCUGUAGCAGGUCCCAAGGGUUUGGCUGUUCGCCAAUUAAAGCGGUACGUGAGCUGGGUUUAGAACGUCGUGAGACAGUUCGGUCCCUAUCUUUCGUGGGCGCAGGAUAUUUGAGAGGAUCUGUCCCUAGUACGAGAGGACCGGGAUGGACGAACCUCUGGUGGUCCAGUUGUCGCGCCAGCGGCAUAGCUGGGUAGCUACGUUCGGAAAGGAUAACCGCUGAAAGCAUCUAAGCGGGAAGCCCACCUCAAGAUUAGAUAUCCCUUCGGCAUGGAAACAUGCCGAACUGAAGACCCCUUGAAGACUACAAGGUUGAUAGGCCAGGUGUGUAAGCCCAGUAAUGGGUUAAGCUAACUGGUACUAAUCGGUCGUGCGGCUUGACCAC